rnacentral:rRNA from 1 species
AAAGAGCGGUGGAGGGCUAAGAAGAGAGAAUGCCGGAAUGAGUAGCGAGACUGAAGUGAGAAUCUUCAGGACCGAAUAUCCAAGGUUUCUAGGGUAAAGCUUGUCUUCCCUGGGUUAGUAGGGGCCUAAGGCGAGGUCGAAGGACGUAGUCGAUGGACAGCAGGUUGAUAUUCCUGCACUACUGUAUAUCAGAACUGUGAGGACGCGGUUUAAAGAGGUGAGUCAAGUGAAGGAACUUGAUUGGACAUGGAGGCCAGGUUAGGGGCAAAUACCUUAACGGAAUGGUAAGGACAUGAACGAUAGGGAACAAUAAAAGUACCGAAAGAGCUGAAUAAACUGCCAAGAAAAGUCACUAUUGCGUAUAUAGUACCCGUACCGCAAACCGACACAGGUGGAUGAGGAGAGAAUCCUAAGGUCGACGGGAGAAGUAUUGUUAAGGAACUCGGCAAAAGUGCCCCGUAACUUCGGGAGAAGGGGUGCUGAUAGUAAUCUGCCGCAGUGAAUAGGCCCAAGCAACUGUUUAGCAAAAACACAGGUCUAUGCGAAACCGAGAGGUGAAGUAUAUGGGCUGACGCCUGCCCGGUGCUGGAAGGUUAAGAGGAGAGGUUAGCGUAAGCGAAGCUUUGAAUCCAAGCCCCAGUAAACGGCGGCCGUAACUAUAACGGUCCUAAGGUAGCGAAAUUCCUUGUCGGGUAAGUUCCGACCCGCACGAAAGGCGUGAUGAUUUGGGCACUGUCUCGACAAUACACCCGGUGAAAUUGAAAUGCCAGUGAAGAUGCUGGCGACCUGCGCCAGGACGGAAAGACCCCAUGGAGCUUUACUCUAGCUUGGCACUGGAGAUUGAUAUGACAUGUACAGGAUAGGUGGGAGACUGAGAAAUAUGGACGUCAGUUUAUAUGGAGUCACUGUUGGGAUACCACCCUUGUUAUAUUGAUUUUCUAACCUACACUCAUGAAACUGGGUGGGGGACAAUGCCUGGUGGGGAGUUUGACUGGGGCGGUCGCCUCCGAAAGGGUAUCGGAGGCGCUCAAAGGUUCCCUCAGAAUGGAUGGAAACCAUUCGAAGAGUGCAAAGGCAGAAGGGAGCUUAACUGCGAGGGUGACGGCCCGAGCAGAUAGGAAACUAGGACUUAGUGAUCCGGUGGUAUAAAGUGGGAUUGCCAUCGCUCAACGGAUAAAAGCUACCCUGGGAUAACAGGCUUAUCCCUCCCAAGAGUUCACAUCGACGGAGUGGUUUGGCACCUCGAUGUCGGCUCAUCGCAUCCCGGGGCUGUAGCAGGUCCCAAGGGUUGGGCUGUUCGCCCAUUAAAGCGGUACGCGAGCUGGGUUCAGAACGUCGUGAGACAGUUCGGUCCCUAUCCGGCGUGGGCGUGGGAUAAUUGAAGGGAGCCGUCCCUAGUUCGAGAGGACCGGGAUGUACGGACCACUGGUGUAUCGGUUGUACUGCCAAGUGCAUAGCCGAGUAGCCAAGUCCGGAAAGGAUAAACGCUGAAAGCAUCUAAGCGUGAAGCCCCCCCUAAGAUGAGUUAUCCAUUACGUAAGUAGAGAGAUUCCUUGUAGACUACGAGGUAGAUAGGGCAGAGGUGUAAGUACAGUGAUGUAUUUAGCUGACUGUCACUAAUAGAUCGAAAACUUGAUCA